GUCUGCCCUUGUACUACACGCUGGAUUUCAGGCUGAGGCCUGUCAACUGGAACUGAAGUCUGGACAGCUCUUCCCAGGCAGCGGCGGCUCCUGCUGGAGAGGUUUCCACUUUUAGGAGGAACGGCACAUUUCCAUGCAUGAACAUUCGCACUGCUCCCUCGCCCCCUAACCUGCGCGCCGCAGGGUGAAGAAUCGCCGGUCCCAUCCACCAGCCGAGGGCAGCUCGCAAACCCUCAGAGAGCACGACUUCUCCGUUCACGCCCACAAAGGAAAUAAAAGAACAAAAUUAAUGAUAAUUGAGCAGAUCUGAACUUCUGUUCGGGCAAAGAAACACAUUUAUUUAAAUGAUGCGUCCCCUGUGCGCUAUUUUCAGGGGGCACUGCUCCUUUAGCGGCCUAAGUGCCUUGUGAAAGUAGUGUUAUGUGAAACCUGGCUGCGCUCAAGACUAUUUUUACUGCAUCCUGAACUUCCUCUCAUCGUUUAUUGGUAUGUGAAUAUGUUCCGCGCAUCUCAACCUAUUUGUCAAACAUGCUGAAUGCCCGUGUCACUGAUUUAGAUGUUGGCAGGUUGGAUGAAAUAGAAGACAAGCUGUGCUGUGUGUGCAUCAGCAAUUAAAGCGUGCGGUCAAAAGCGUUUAUUUACCAUGCCCGCGGUUCCCCGAUGGGCCUAGGGGGUUCAUAGAACCUUUUUUUAAAUCUUAUGAAUAACUUAAUAAUAUUGUUUCUUUCUCACAAUUUAAGUUAAAGUACACUCCAAGUAAAGAAUUAUUUCUGACUUUAAAUAUUGCGAUUAGCGUUUAGUUAUGAGAAUGUAAAAAUAAUGCCCCAAAAUAAUGCCCAGAUGUUAAGUAGGACUGUGUAAAUAUUCAACUUUAUUGCUCUCUUAGAAAUACGUAUUUCUUGGGACAAUAAUAAGCUCAUACGUAAAACCAAAUUAAGUUCAGACUUGUAUGAGCAAACAAACAAUAUGACGGUGUUGCUUGACUGAAUUAUACAUGUGGAAAAUUGUUUUGCAGCAAUUUCUCAGGUACUGUGUUUUUAUUCACAAAAAAAGAUAUUCUUAACAGAUUUACAGGUUUUUGUUUUAAGUUGUUUUUUAGGAGGGCUGUUUGGACUGUAUAUAAUAUUCUGAGCAAUGAAGAGGAAAAGUCUCUUAGAACCACAGCAACAGUGAGAAAUAGUUAUCUUAAUAAGAUGAUAAAACUACAAAGACAUGUUUAUUGUUAAUAACUUUUCCAGAACCACACCUCUUUAUAUUAUUUUUGUUAAAUGUAGAGGAAUUCCAUUACAUCACAACUGCACCAGGUUCUGCAGCAGAAAGCAGCUUGCUAGUUCCCCAAGGGUCGAGUUUCUCUCAUUAUCCAGCUGUUCUUUGAUAGCAUUAAUAUUUUAAGGAGUGAUUUGUUGCCGCUUACCUCCCAUUAAUUACCUUCUCCAUGCCACAGUGGGAUUCUUUUCCUUAGGACACCAGCUAUAAUUAAUUCCUUCAUUCAAAGCCCCUGUCUAUUUGACUUAUUUAGAGGGCAUUUUACUCACAUUUAGUUGCAUAUUGACUAAUGGAAAGUAACCAGACCUCCAAAUUACUUGAUACUCCAUAAAUUUGAUGUGUAUGAACAUUAAAGCAACUGUGUGAUACACUUCCAUAUCUCUGUCCUGAUACAAGUGCCUUUAAAGCAUUACAGCAAUCAGCUUCAGGGUGUGCUCAGGGGAAAAAAGUAAUGUAUUUGGUUCCUUGUCACAGAAGAGCUCAAGUUUUACAUCAACAAAUUUUAACCUCAAAAGUGAUGUUCUCAAAAUGCCCUUUGUGAUCAGUAGACGAAUAUACACUUCUUUUUAGGGUUAUGAACAUCCAAAGUUUCUGUUUUUCUGUUACCAUUAAUAGGAAAGGAAGAUGAAGAAGUUCUCGUUGACCACCCUCAAAGACUGUAGGGUGAGGACAUGGAGAUGGAAAAUAAAAUCCACACCGCCAGGGAUAUUACACAGAGGUUUUAGAAAUUCUAUAUUUUUUCUUAUCUCAGUAACAGAAAUUCCAUAUUUUGGUGAAGAACACAAUUGUAAGGGGUGAUUUCCUCAGCCUACAUUCUCCUGUGGCCCUGCUGCCAGGAAACUCAAGGAAAUGAGUUAAAUGAUAUGAUGUCUGGGAUUUGCUUUAAUAAACGCCAGCAAAAGAGAAAAGGGGUGGGUUGGGGGUGGUGAGGGGGGAAGGAAGAAAGGAAGGGAAGAAGAAGAGAAAAAGAAAAGGUACAGGAGAAAUGCAGAUAUGGAGAUGGGACAGAUGAAACUGAGACACAAUCGGCAAAUGUUGCUAAUUGUAGCUGGCAGAAGGGUACUUGUCAAAUGGAAAUGCAAGUCUAUUUUUCCUGUA